UUGCCCAAUAUAGGCCCAAAAUUCAAAGAGAAGUGAAAUUUCAUUAGAUGAUAAUUAAUUAGGAAAUUAGGAAAGUUAUGGUAACUCUUCAGCUCCCAUCUUCUCUACUCAUCCACUUCAUCUCCUUUCUUCUCCCCUAAUUGUUUUCUUCCCAAGUUUUCUUCUCCCUAAUUUUACUAGCUCAACUAUUCUUUAUUUUCGAAGUACACAAGUUGAUCCAUUCGAAGAGUUCGUUAUCUCUGAUGUAGAGCAACUACAUAUUCGAUUUUAGAGGUUUGGAGCUUUGCAUGUUAGCUCAAAGUCAUCAUCGAUGUCUUCACUAUCUCUCUUGCUAUGGUUUGUUUGUUUAGCAACAAAUCCGCAGCUGACUGAAGACAAAAAAGUGCUCGAGCGUGUUGCUCUUAGUCAGAUCCCUGAUUUCCGAAGUGGGUUCUCUAGAGAUUCAAGUUUUUUAGGAUUAUCAACCAGAAGUACAAGGCCUAGGGUUUUGGGUUUCAGCUAAAAGAGAAUUUUAGGAUAAUCACCAUACAUAUGAGAAAACAAACGAAAAAGUUUCAAUUACAAUGUGAAGCAAAGUUUCUGAACCUGAACAAGACCAGAAUUCUGCAAAUUGAUGGCACCAGGUGGACAUGUUUUUAAGCAAACUACACUUACAGGGGAAACAAUUCAAGAUACUCAAUCACUAGAUGAAUCAAAUAACCAUACUCCUGCUAUGAAUACAAAUGAUUCCACUAGAAUCAGGAACGGUCGUGGCAAGACUAGAGGGAAAGGUCUUGAAAAAAUGAAGAAGGCUCAAUGAAGAAAGAUGAAAAUAGAAAUCCUAGUUGGUAAAGGAAGGCCAACUAAACCAGAUCAAUCGGCAAAACUAUCCAAUGAGCUAGGGAUAAUUGCUCGGAAUUUUCUUUUGCUUCCAAACAAGUGGAAAGAACUCACAAGAGAGGACAAAGAUGCGGGACUAAUUAGAUGCCAUGAGAGGUUUGAAAUUAAUUUGGAUGAGCAUUAUGUGAAAAAUAGUUGUGAGGAUAUUCUGAAAAACAAAAGCCGACAAUGGUGCUACAAGUUAAAAUAACUAUUUGAAAAUGCACGCUCUGAGGAAGAAGCUCAUAAGAUUGAAGUGCCAGAGUUGACCCCAGAAAAUUGGAAUAGGCUUUGUGACAUGUGGAUCAAUCCAGAGCAAAAGAAACGAUGCGACAUAAACAAGGCCAAUUGAACUAAGCUUAAGUGUUAUUAUUUCAUGGGGUCAAAAGAGUUUGUAGCGGCUCGUGCUGAAUUUGUAAGUUAUACCAUUUUUAUUGUUUUGACUAAUGAAACUUUAGUAUUAUUUCAAUUGUUUCUUAUUUCACAAGGUAAAACUAACCCUGAAGGAGUAGAGCCUAACAGAAUCUAGUUCUAUAAGCAUACUCAUUACACGAGUGAGAAAGGAUGGUCAUCUUUAGAGGCUGGGACUCCUUAUAACAACAUUACAGAUUUGAAAGAUCUAUAUACAUCGAGAGAGUCUUCCAUGACUAUUGAUGAAAUUGUGGAUACUAUACUUGGUACAAAGUCGGGGUACAUAAAAGGACUUGGUUAUGGUCCAAAACCUAAUACUACAAGAUCUACACAAAGGAGAACGGCAGAGUUAGAAGACUCCCUCAAAAAGGCGAAACAAGAAGUUGUUAGUGCCCAACUUGAAUUACAAAAUCGAUUAAAUGCUGUUGAAACUGUGGUAGAUAAUCUGCAAUCUCAAAUACAAGACCAGCAAUCUCAAAUACAAUCAUUAAAUUUUCAAUUGAAUACUAUAGUGGCACACUAAGAGGAAAUGUUUAGAAAAAUGCAACUUCUUUCUUGCUCAUCGCC